AUUGAACGCUGGCGGCAUGCUUUACACAUGCAAGUCGAACGGUAACAGGCCUUCGGGUGCUGACGAGUGGCGAACGGGGGAGUAAUGCAUCGGAACGUGCCCAGAGGUGGGGGAUAACGCAGCGAAAGCUGUGCUAAUACCGCAUGUGAUCUGAGGAUGAAAGCGGGGGACCAGGCAGCAAUGUUUGGCCUCGCGCCUUUGGAGCGGCCGAUGUCAGAUUAGGUAGUUGGUGGGGUAAAGGCCUACCAAGCCGACGAUCUGUAGCUGGUCUGAGAGGACGACCAGCCACACUGGGACUGAGACACGGCCCAGACUCCUACGGGAGGCAGCAGUGGGGAAUUUUGGACAAUGGGCGCAAGCCUGAUCCAGCAAUGCCGCGUGCGGGAAGAAGGCCUUCGGGUUGUAAACCGCUUUUGUACGGAACGAAAAGGCUCUGGCUAAUACCUGGGGCUGAUGACGGUACCGUAAGAAUAAGCACCGGCUAACUACGUG
rnacentral:rRNA from 1 species